UUGAUUAUGACGUACUUGUACUGAUUGAGAUUUUAACACGAAGUGAGUGGCGAACGGGUGAGUAACACGUGGGUAACCUGCCCAGAAGUAGGGGAUAACACCUGGAAACAGAUGCUAAUACCGUAUAACAGAGAAAACCGCAUGGUUUUCUUUUAAAAGAUGGCUCUGCUAUCACUUCUGGAUGGACCCGCGGCGUAUUAGCUAGUUGGUGAGGUAAAGGCUCACCAAGGCAGUGAUACGUAGCCGACCUGAGAGGGUAAUCGGCCACAUUGGGACUGAGACACGGCCCAGACUCCUACGGGAGGCAGCAGUAGGGAAUCUUCCACAAUGGACGCAAGUCUGAUGGAGCAACGCCGCGUGAGUGAAGAAGGGUUUCGGCUCGUAAAGCUCUGUUGUUAAAGAAGAACGUGGGUAAGAGUAACUGUUUACCCAGUGACGGUAUUUAACCAGAAAGCCACGGCUAACUACGUGCCAGCAGCCGCGGUAAUACGUAGGUGGCAAGCGUUAUCCGGAUUUAUUGGGCGUAAAGCGAGCGCAGGCGGUCUUUUAAGUCUAAUGUGAAAGCCUUCGGCUCAACCGAAGAAGUGCAUUGGAAACUGGGAGACUUGAGUGCAGAAGAGGACAGUGGAACUCCAUGUGUAGCGGUGAAAUGCGUAGAUAUAUGGAAGAACACCAGUGGCGAAGGCGGCUGUCUGGUCUGCAACUGACGCUGAGGCUCGAAAGCAUGGGUAGCGAACAGGAUUAGAUACCCUGGUAGUCCAUGCCGUAAACGAUGAUUACUAAGUGUUGGAGGGUUUCCGCCCUUCAGUGCUGCAGCUAACGCAUUAAGUAAUCCGCCUGGGGAGUACGACCGCAAGGUUGAAACUCAAAAGAAUUGACGGGGGCCCGCACAAGCGGUGGAGCAUGUGGUUUAAUUCGAAGCUACGCGAAGAACCUUACCAGGUCUUGACAUCUUCUGACAGUCUAAGAGAUUAGAGGUUCCCUUCGGGGACAGAAUGACAGGUGGUGCAUGGUUGUCGUCAGCUCGUGUCGUGAGAUGUUGGGUUAAGUCCCGCAACGAGCGCAACCCUUAUUACUAGUUGCCAGCAUUAAGUUGGGCACUCUAGUGAGACUGCCGGUGACAAACCGGAGGAAGGUGGGGACGACGUCAAAUCAUCAUGCCCCUUAUGACCUGGGCUACACACGUGCUACAAUGGAUGGUACAACGAGUCGCGAGACCGCGAGGUUAAGCUAAUCUCUUAAAACCAUUCUCAGUUCGGACUGUAGGCUGCAACUCGCCUACACGAAGUCGGAAUCGCUAGUAAUCGCGGAUCAGCAUGCCGCGGUGAAUACGUUCCCGGGCCUUGUACACACCGCCCGUCACACCAUGAGAGUUUGUAACACCCAAAGCCGGUGGGGUAA
rnacentral:rRNA from 1 species